rnacentral:tRNA from 1 species
UUGCCGUCGUAUCGGGUGGUGACGACGCCGUCAUACAGGGCGAGCCGUUGCUGGAAGGUGGAGGACCCCGUGUUCAGGCCCGGGUUGGUGGA